rnacentral:rRNA from 1 species
CCUACGGGAGGCAGCAGUGGGGAAUAUUGCGCAAUGGGCGAAAGCCUGACGCAGCGACGCCGCGUGAGGGAUGAAGGUCUUCGGAUCGUAAACCUCUGUCAGCAGGGAAGAACGGUCACGGUGCUAAUCAGCAGUGAAUUGACGGUACCGGCAAAGGAAGCACCGGCUAACUCCGUGCCAGCAGCCGCGGUAAGACGGAGGGUGCGAGCGUUCAUCGGAAUUACUGGGCGUAAAGCGCGCGUAGGCGGUAUGUCAAGUCAAGGGUGAAAUCCCCGCGCUCAACGUGGGAACUGCCUUUGAAACUGGCAACCUGGAGUGUGUGUGUGGCUAGUGGCAUUCCAGUUGUCGGCG